GCAAAGUUAUGAACAAACAUUCCAGUAACAUUAAUAGAAUGUUAGCUGCUAUUUUCAGAAUGUUCAAAGAAGAUUCUGACUUAUUUCAUAGUAUGAUAAUGAGAUGAGAUCUAUGGUACAACACACUCAAAUCUAUUAUUGGCAAAUAAGGCAGAUCUAUAAUAUCUUGUAAUAUCCAUUAUAAUAGCCUACUGUAAUAGGCCUACUAAUAUCCAUCUUUUAUGUUAUCAGCGUUCUUGUAUAACCUCAUGUGGGCGGGUCUGUGAAUGGAGCUCUAUAGCAGCGAUCUAUAAUAUAGUGAUAUGCGCUUGAAUAGAUAGAGGAGCUAAAGUGAUACACCCGCUGCUCCCGCCGUUAUUGUGCCAAGGUGCUGGCUCGUGCUGCUCGUGAACAGGUGUCUUUCCAUGAACCCCAGCAUUACCCUGCUUGGCACGGCCCGGUAAACAGUUGUUCGACCCUGUGGGCGUCCGAAUAUGUCACCGGCCUCCAUCACGAGAUCGUGUGGCACCGGCUUCCACCGCGACAUGAACAACUGCCAUCUGCUGGAAGACUUCCGCUACUGCAGGUUGCUGGGUGUGUCUAAUGCCAGGCUAGAUGUCCAGAGAAGUGGAGCUGGACAUCAUUUGACUCUGCAGUGAGCACCACUUGGCAGAUACCCACACUUGACUACAGUGGACACUAAUGCAUCAUCAUUUAUACUGCCACCAAGUGGCAACCGUUUGUGUGUGGAAUUUUUUUCUCCAAACCAAGAUGGCCGACAGCCAGUCAGAAAUGCCAAGUUGCUCUGGAAUGUUCAUCCAUCCGUGCCUUCUAUCCUAAGAUACUCUUGCAGGUAAAAAGCAUUAAGUAACAUCUAAUGAGUCAUAUAUUUUUUAAUUCUCCAAAUAUUGAUUUUAGAUUUGGAGGAAAUUCUGAUUAAUCAUCUGUCCACAUCAUGCAUCACUAGCUAUAUAUUUCAGCUACAAUUCAUACUAUUACUGUGACUCUUGGUCUUCAAAACUCAACUUUUUUUGGCUGUAAAUAAAUUUAUUUAUGUUAAUAGACUGUAAUUUGCAGUUACAUCAAAAAAGUAGUCUGACUACAUAAUGCACAUGACUUGUAAUGCAUUACCCCCAACUCUGCUCAUUUCAGAUGAGAUUUGAAAACACCUGAUCGCUAGUUUUUCCACUGUCUGAAAGCAUCAAUAGAUGAAUGUAGAUUUCAGCUUGAGGUUUUCUCAGAGAGGGGAGCUAAAUUUGUCCAUUUUGAACAAUCGGAAUUAUCAGCUAAUUAGGGUAAAAUGACGUACUCUGGUAGACUGGAGGGAGCAUGAGCGUUUUCUACAUAGUCUGAGUUGGGUUUCCUUCACCUGUUGUACCUUGUCCUCAUGUUCUCAUAUCAAAAACACACACUGUGCACUCAAUUGGACAUCUGAAAAUCUCUUUGCAAAAUGUGUAAAAAAAAUAAAAAUAAGAAGUGAAAACCUUGUUUCUCAUGCCCUAAGAGCAAUAAAAACACAUUAGAAAGAAA